UGAAUGUUUUCAAUGAUCAAGUUGUACAAACAAUGCAUUUCAAUUUAGUACAACUCGUAACUAACAUUCUUGUAGUUCUUCACAAGUUUCGAGAAAUACAUACUCUUCGUUCGGUCGUUCUGUAUAAAGUGAUCAAGUUUGUGUGUGGGCGACAAACUCGGACUCCGCGUAUACCGGAAACAUCGAUUGAAGCGAUUCAGGAGAUAACACAUCUAAACGGCAUGAUG